GACGUGGGACUUGAUCCCAGGUCUCCAGGAUCAUGCCCUGGGCUGAAGGCAGGUGCCAAACCACUGAGUCACCUGGGCGUCCCAGCUUAACUUGUUUUUAAACUGAAAUUUUUAGAAUUUGUAUCUCCCAUCUCUUCCUUUGUGACUGCCAUUGCUCUUAGGCCUUUCUAAAAUCAAAUAUUAACCAAUGUUUUCCAUUUAUAAAAAAAAAUUUAUUUAAAAAAAAUUAAUUUCAUUUAAUUCUCAGACUCAUGUGGGGUUUAUGUUAGUAGAUGAUGUGAGGCAAAGCCCUAUCCCUAAUUUUUUUUCAAGUAUCUUAUCAGCUAUACUAUCACCUUUAUUGAAAAAAAUAGCUCUCCCCUCCACUGGUGGGUGGUGAUGCCUGUAUUAAAUAGAAUCUUAUUUUUAUGUUUAAAAAGUAUCCUACUGUUUUUCUUAUAGGCAUCAGUUUUGAAAGGCAAGGAUUCCAAAGUUUCUGAAAGAACGGUCGUGGUUGCUGGUCAUUCGGUUGGCCUUUUUAAUGAUCAAUUCCAGACCACAGUAGUGAAGACUCACUUCCAAGCUAUUAAGAGUGAAGGCAGAGUUGAUGAAAAUGUGGUAUAUCCCACAAGACCCAGGAGAGUUGCAAAUGUGACAUUCAAAGAAAAAAAAAAAGGUAUUUCCAAGUCAACUUUUGUCAUCUUAGAAAUACUUCUGUAAUGAAAUAAAAAACUGAAUUUCAUUAAAAAUGAUUCAUGAGAUUGAUAAAGUUCAAAGUAGCUUUUUAAAAAGAUUUUAUUUAUUUAUUCAUGAGAGACACAGAGGGAGAGAGGCAGAGACACAGGCAGAGGGAGAAGCAGGCUCCUUGCAGGGAGCCCGACGUGGGAUUCGAUCCCGGGACCCUGGGGUCACGCCCUAGGCCGAAGGUGGCGCUAAACCACUGAGCCCCCCAGGGCUGCCCUCAAAGUAGCUUUUUGAAAAUAUUAUCCUAUUCUGAAUAUAAAAGUGGAACAAUAUUACACUAACAUGAAUGUAUGUGAAAAUAGCUCAUGAUAAAGUUGUAGUAACUGCCUAACUCUUGAAGACUUCUUUUUUUCUAUAUUUGAAAUCUGUCUAGCUUUUGGGGGAAAAAAGUAAUACAUUUUAUUGUAGAAAACUUGUAAAAUACAGAAAAAAAUCCACAAAGAUAAUGUAUAAUCUCACCAAUGAUUUAACUGCUUUGGAAUAUUCUUUCUUUAAAGAUUUUAUUUAUUUAUUCAUGAGAGACACAGACAGAGAGGCAGCGACCCAGGCAGAGGGAGAAGCAGCCUCCCCACAAGGAGCCCGAUGCGGAACUUGAUCCUGGACCCCACGAUCACGUCCUGAGCCGAAGGCAGAUGCUCACCCGCUGAGCCACCCAGGAGUCCCUGCUUUGGGAAUUUUCAAGUGGCUUCAGCAGUAUAAUCAUACUGUAUGCUUCUCUUUGUGCAAACCAGCAAAAGGAUAUUUUAGUGUAGCAUUGGCUUUAUCGCUGGCAAAGUUGGAUCGGAGAAAUGUGGCUUGGAUCUGAGCUCAGGUCGAGCCAUUCUAUUCCACACCCCAUCCUUUUUUUUUGUUUUAAAUUUUUUUUUCCACACCCCAUCCUUGACAUAAGGUGAGGACAUUGGGUGUGCAGACCUGGAGGUGGGGGGAGGGGGCUUGAUGGUUCAAUGACUGGCAAAAUAGGUUGACAGAGAAAGAUGUCUUGUGCCAGCACCUUGGAUGUAAAAUACCACAUGGUAUUGGAAGUAGAAGAAAGGCCUGGCUUUGCGUGAGGCAAAGAUAGGAUCUCGAGAGAGACCUAGGAGACUAAGGAUUGUCAGCACCUCGUCUGUCACCCUUAGUUAAGUCAUUCCUUCUCAAUGGGGGGUGAUUAGGUAGGGAGGUGGGAAGGGCUCCUUAUUAUUUCUCUAACAGGACUGUAGUGUUUUUAUUUUUAUUUUUUAAAGAUUUAUUUAUUUAUUCAUGAUAGAUACAGAGAGAGAGAGAGAGCGAGGCAGAGACACAGGCAGAGGGAGAAGCAGGCUCCAUGCUGGGAGCCCAACAUGGGACUCAGUCCUGGGACCCCAGGAUUGCGCCCUGGGCCAAAGGCAGGUGCUAAACCGCUGAGCCACCCGGGGAUCCCCAGGCCUGUCGUGUUUUUAGAAGUCAACUUUUCCAACAUUGCAUUGGUAACUCAGAGAGAGAAAGAGAAGUUUCAUUCAUUCAUUCGUCCACAAAGAUUUGUGAGUGCCUAUUAUUUGCAGGGGACCACUUCAGGCCUUCAGGAUACAGCAGUGAGUGAAGGAGGCAAAAUGUUUUCUUUCCUGGAGCAUACAUCCGGGCAGGUCGCCCCCCUGUGGAGCCGAGCUCGGCCUCCCGGGUGCGGGGUCCAGGCUCCCCGAGGGGCCCUGAAGAGGAGGAUCCCCAUGUCACCUGCGCCCCUGGGCCCCGUGGAUGCUGUCGGGCCAGGACUGUUUCAGGCUGUCCGGAGGCUCAAAGAACCUGUGCUCCUGGAAGCAAGUUCUCUUUUAGCAAAAACCAGGAAUUCCAUGGGGGAAGAAGGGGUGGGAGGGCGCCUGCAGCGAGCAAGACCGCGGGGGGCACAGGCCGCAGGCCCAAGGCCGCCUGCUCUCCACACGCGUCCUUCCUUUACUGCAACAGGCCUGAGCCCUACGAAGCGCCCUGACAGUGCUGAGUGUCCUGGGAGGAGAGCCGAGGGCCAGGUGAGCCCCCGGAUAGGACGCUCCAGGAGGCUGCGGCCAGGUGAGCCCCCCAACAGGACGCUCCAGGAGGCUGCGGCCUGGCAAGGACGCGGUUGUCAAAGGACUGAGGAGUGUUCCCUGCUCCUCACAUCAGCCUAGGAAGGGGACACGGACUCUGGAGGAAGGAGGCCGGGCACCAGGGGUCCUCGCGCGGCCUGCCAACCCCUAAGUUCCAGGUUCCCUCAGGUUCUGGUCACGUUUUAUGAGACGCACCUUGACCUCAUUGCAUCGCCUUCUGACACACACUUGCUCCAAAAAGAGGUCGUGGACUCGAGGCUGACGCGGUGGCGGGGAGCCGCCGUCCUCAUCCGGCCGCGCUGCGGGGGACAGUCAGCACCGGGCCCUACGCUCGGCUCUGCGUCCCGCGGCCAGGGAGGAGGCUGCCGGGACACUCAGCCCAUCCGACUCCAGAGGGAACCCUUACAGCUCGACACUUUGGAAAAAAAUCUCAUUAAACUUUGAAGAACCUCACUUUCUCUGCACCUCCAAAUUCUUAGAGAAGUAGCUUUAAUUCCAACAUAGAAGACGUCUGGAGGAUGGCUAUGCCUGUGGCAUUCACGGUUCGUGUUUACGCCGAAUACAACCAGGAGGCUGGCAAAGCUCACUCAGGAAGCUGCUUAGACUGAACGUACUUUUUUUGUUUAAAGAUUUAAUUUAUUUAUUCAUGAGACACACAGAGAGAGGCAGAGACACAGGCAGAGGGAGAAGCAGGCUCCAUACAGGGAGCCCGACGUGGGACUCGAUCCCGGGACCCCGGGGUCACGCCCCUGGCCGAAGGCAGAUGCUCAACCGCUGAGCCCCCCGGGGGACCUCCCGAUUGAAAGUACUUCUGAAGCAGAGAGGCUGCACCAUAGUGAAGGGGGCCAUCAUCCAGGUGAAAAAAAAAGAAGACGGAGGAACGAGCUUCAGAUCAAGACAGACAAAGAAGUAGAGUGGAAGAAAGGGUUCCAAGGCAUUUGGGAGAGCAACUGUAUUGGAUAGUGGUAUUCACAGAUUUGCAGACUUUCAAAGGUUUAAGGAUAUGUACCACGAGGCUGCCAGUGGUGUUUUGUCUUUAACAAACUGGCUUUGCUGGAACUGCAAAGAUCCCACGCGCAGAAGAUGACUGCUGCUUUAGUUACUGCUGUCAACUUCUCCGUAAUGCAUAAAAUUCUAAGGUAAUGAGGAGAGUUAUAAUGGGUAGUGGAGAAGUCCAUGUGGGUAAACCAACUUCUAUAGCAAAAUAGGUAAAUGAUUUUACACUAUGAUUUUGUAUCCAUUAUUGAGUCUGAAACACACAGAACACUAGCUUCUUAGUGACACUUGAAAAUAGCUGUAUCAGUCCUUUACUGCCUCUGGAGUCUUUUUAUGACCAUCCCUGCCGAAAAACUUCAAUAUUGAGGGAGAAAAUAGAAGUAUUCGCAUUUGGAAUUAAGUUUUCCAUCACUUUCUAUCUUUAUUCUUACUGAUACGCAUUUGUGCAAACAUGAAAGCCAGGAUUGAUUAGAACAAUAAUUUUGUGGCCCACAGAACACAUGCUAAAUCAGCACUCUUGUCUGGAAGCUGGACAUUUAUCUUUCCAAGCCAGGCUAACACCUAAUUGUCUCCACAUUGUGAGAAGUGUAAAGGCCAUCACGACAAUGGGGCAGAAAGUUGAGCCAACUCGAUUUAUUUAACACCUCAUAACACUCGGGAGUUUUUCUUCACUGCCCAGGCUUGUAAAAUUUAUUAUGAACCUUUAAUCCCUCCCCCUGCUUUCCUGAGGGCUUUAAAGUGAAUAUAAAACAACAACAAACAGAGUCUAUAAAAGCAUUUCCACCCCCGCCGCACAUGUUGCCAGCAGCUCGUCAGUGUCCCUAAGAACUUGUCCAGGUCGCGGGCGCGUCGGCCAGUUUAGGCCAGGCCUGCCUGCACUCCAGCUCUCUGCGAGCGGGGCCUUCCCAGCAAGCCGGCGAUUGUGGGGAUGGCAGGCCUCAUUCUGUCUUUGCUGCUUAAAUAUUUCUAUUACAAGGAUAACACAGUCACACAAUUAAAAAAAAAAAAACAAAUACUAUUACUUUUAACACAAAGACGCUAUAUUCACAUGGAAAAAAAUUAAAACAUUGCAGAAAAGACUAAACUGAAAAGUAAAAUUCCCUUGUUUUCAUCUCUGCCUUUGCUCCAAGAUACUGGUUUGUCGUUUUUUAAGUGUGAGACAUGAGUAUUGUCUAAGAGUGUCACCGAUUACUUCAAAAGGUUGGACAAAACCAAAGUAAUCAGGCUUCGGCAUCUAGAUUCUAAUGGAAGAACAAACGCAAAACAAAACAAAACAAAACAAAAUAAAAACCAGGAAAAUUCCUGUA